AGUAAAGCUACUAAGGGCGCAUGGCGGAUGCCUUGGCGUCGGUAGGCGAUGAAGGACGUGGUAAGCUGCGAUAAGCUCCGGUGAGGUGCACACAACCGUUGAUCCGGAGAUUUCCGAAUGGGGAAACCCAGCACGGCAAAACCGUGUUACGCGUCGAUGAAUCCAUAGUCGAUUGCGAGCUAACGGGGUGAACUGAGCCAUCUAAGUAGCCCCAGGAAGAGAAAGAAACCUCGAUUUCCUCAGUAGCGGCGAGCGAAAGGGAAAGAGCCUAAACCCAGCUGCAUGUAAGCCAGCAUGCGUUGUGCAGUGGGUGUAGCGGGACCUGUUUUGACCCGAGUGCUGCGAGGGUCGGAGAGUUACAAAGGCGACGGCUAGUCGAACAGUCUGGAAAGUCUGACCACAGAAGGUGCUAGUCCUGUAGACAAAAGCUGAUCGUUCUCUCUAUGAACAGGCACCCAAGUACCAUGGGACACGUGAAAUCCUGUGGGAAUCCGGGAGGACCAUCUCCCAAGGCUAAAUACUCACCGACGACCGAUAGUGAACAAGUACCGUGAGGGAAAGGUGAAAAGAACCCCGAGAGGGGAGUGAAAUAGUACCUGAAACCAUGUGCCUACAAGCGCUGGGAGGACGACCCCGGACCUUCGGGUCCAGGCAAGUCUGACCGGGUGCCUUUUGCAUAAUGAGCCGGCGAGUUUAUCUGUGUAGCAAGGUUAAGCGUAUUAAUGCGCGGAGCCGUAGCGAAAGCGAGUCUGAAUAGGGCGACUAGUUGCGCGGAUAAGACCCGAAGCUGAAUGAUCUAUCCAUGGCCAGGAUGAAGCGCAUGUAACAGUGCGUGGAAGACCGAACCGACCAAAGUUGAAAAUUUGGCGGAUGAGCUGUGGAUAGGGGUGAAAGGCCAAUCAAAUUCAGAGAUAUCUGGUUCUCCCCGAAAUGUCUUUAGGGACAGCCUCGCGUGAUGUGUAACGGAGGUAGAGCACUGAUUGGGCUAGGGGGGCUACAACCCUACCAAACCCAUUCAAACUCCGAAUGCCGUCUACAUUAACGCGGGAGUGAGUCUGCGAGGGAUAAGCUUCGUAGGCGAGAGGAAAACACUCCAGACCACCAGCUAAGGUCCCCAAGUAUAUGCUAAGUGUAAAAGGAUGUGGAGUUACACAGACAACCAGGAUGUUGGCUUAGAAGCAGCCAUCAUUUAAAGAAAGCGUAACAGCUCACUGGUCAAGUGAUUCCGCGCCGAUAAUUGAUGGGACUAAGCAUAUCACCGAAGCUGUGGGAUCAUACCCUUGGGGUAUGAUCGGUAGGGGAGCAUUCCACUGUAGGGUGAAGGUAAACCGGCAAGGUUUGCUGGACGACGUGGAAGUGAUUAUGCCGGCACGAGUAGCGAUAAGACAGGCGAGAAACCUGUCCACCGAAAGCCUAAGGUUUCCUGAGCAAGGCUAAUCCGCUCAGGGUAAGUCGGUCCCUAAGCCCAGGCCGAAAGGCGUAAGCGAUGGGAAUCAGGUCAACAUUCCUGAACCACCGACCGGACGUUUGUACGAAGGGGUUACGCAGGAGUGAAAGGUCAGCCGGGUGUUGGAUGUCCCGGUUCAAGCUGGUAGGAGGAUCCCCUAGGGAAAUCCGGGGGGUCAUUCAACUCCGAGAAGUGAUGAGGAGUCCAUUUGGACACAAACUGGCCCUAAUCAUACUGCCAAGAAAAACCUCUAAGGAGUUCGGUAGGUGACCGUACCGUAAACGGACACACGUAGGCGAGAAGAGUAUUCUAAGGUGCUCGAGAGAACCCUUGUUAAGGAACUCGGCAAAAUAACCCCGUAACUUCGGAAGAAGGGGUGCCCCUUUUGGCAAUGCUCCUUGCGGGCAAAGCUGAGGGGGGUUGCAAUAACCAGGAUCUAGCGACUGUUUACCAAAAACACAGGUCUCUGCGAAGUCGUAAGACGACGUAUAGGGACUGACACCUGCCCGGUGCCGGAAGGUUAAGGGGAUUCGUCAGCCCGCAAGGGCGAAGCGUUGAACCGAAGCCCCGGUAAACGGCGGCCGUAACUAUAACGGUCCUAAGGUAGCGAAAUUCCUUGUCGGGUAAGUUCCGACCUGCACGAAUGGUGUAACGACUGGAUCGCUGUCUCAACAAGGGACUCGGUGAAACUGUAGCAGCGGUGAAGAUGCCGCUUACCCGCGACUGGACGGAAAGACCCCGUGCACCUUUACUGUAGCGUGGUAUUGAGUCUUCGCAGGUCAUGUGUAGGAUAGGUGGGAGACUUUGAAGCGGGUACGCUAGUAUCCGUGGAGUCAUCCUUGAAAUACCACCCUUGAUUUGUAAGGGCUCUAACCUCGUGCCGUGAAUCCGGGCGAGGAACAGUGCUUCGUAGGCAGUUUGACUGGGGCGGUCGCCUCCUAAAAUGUAACGGAGGCGCACAAAGGUUCCCUCAGCAUGGUCGGCAAUCAUGCGGAGAGUGUAAAGGCACAAGGGAGCUUGACUGCGAGACAAACAAGUCGAGCAGGUGCGAAAGCAGGUCUUAGUGAUCCGGCGGUCCCGUAUGGAAGGGCCGUCGCUCAACGGAUAAAAGGUACGCCGGGGAUAACAGGCUGAUCUCCCCCAAGAGUCCACAUCGACGGGGAGGUUUGGCACCUCGAUGUCGGCUCAUCGCAUCCUGGGGCUGGAGAAGGUCCCAAGGGUUCGGCUGUUCGCCGAUUAAAGCGGUACGUGAGCUGGGUUCAGAACGUCGUGAGACAGUUCGGUCCCUCUCCUUCGCGGGUGCAGGAGAUUUGAGGAGAGUUGUCCUUAGUACGAGAGGACCGGGAUGAACGGACCCCUAGUGCACCAGUUGUCGUGCCAACGGCAUGGCUGGGUAGCUAUGUCCGGACGAGAUAACCGCUGAAAGCAUCUAAGCGGGAAACUCACUCCAAAACUAGAUCUCCCAGGGCUUAAGCCCUCUAAAGGCCCCUUGUAGAUUACGAGGUUGAUAGGCCACAGGUGUAAGCGCAGCAAUGCGUUCAGCCGAGUGGUACUAAUUGGCCGUGCGGCUUUGCUCA
rnacentral:rRNA from 1 species